rnacentral:rRNA from 1 species
UGGCCAACGGGUGAGUAAUAUAUCGGAACGUACCCUGGAGUGGGGGAUAACGUAGCGAAAGUUACGCUAAUACCGCAUACGAUCUAAGGAUGAAAGUGGGGGAUCGCAAGACCUCAUGCUCCUGGAGCGGCCGAUAUCUGAUUAGCUAGUUGGUAGGGUAAAAGCCUACCAAGGCAUCGAUCAGUAGCUGGUCUGAGAGGACGACCAGCCACACUGGAACUGAGACACGGUCCAGACUCCUACGGGAGGCAGCAGUGGGGAAUUUUGGACAAUGGGCGCAAGCCUGAUCCAGCAAUGCCGCGUGAGUGAAGAAGGCCUUCGGGUUGUAAAGCUCUUUUGUCAGGGAAGAAACGGUGAACUUCUAAUACAGAUUGCUAAAUGACGGUACCUGAAGAAUAAGCACCGGCUAAACUACGUGCCAGCAGCCGCGGUAAUACGUAGGGUGCAAGCGUUAAUCGGAAUUACUGGGCGUAAAGCGUGCGCAGGCGGUUUUGUAAGUCUGUCGUGAAAUCCCCGGGCUCAACCUGGGAAUGGCGAUGGAGACUGCAAGGCUAGAGUUUGGCAGAGGGGGGUAGAAUUCCACGUGUAGCAGUGAAAUGCGUAGAUAUGUGGAGGAACACCGAUGGCGAAGGCAGCCCCCUGGGUCAAAACUGACGCUCAUGCACGAAAGCGUGGGGAGCAAACAGGAUUAGAUACCCUGGUAGUCCACGCCCUAAACGAUGUCUACUAGUUGUCGGGUCUUAAUUGACUUGGUAACGCAGCUAACGCGUGAAGUAGACCGCCUGGGGAGUACGGUCGCAAGAUUAAAACUCAAAGGAAUUGACGGGGACCCGCACAAGCGGUGGAUGAUGUGGAUUAAUUCGAUGCAACGCGAAAAACCUUACCUACCCUUGACAUGGAAGGAAUCCCGGAGAGAUUUGGGGAGUGCCCGAAAGGGAACCCUUUACACAGGUGCUGCAUGGCUGUCGUCAGCUCGUGUCGUGAGAUGUUGGGUUAAGUCCCGCAACGAGCGCAACCCUUGUCAUUAGUUGCUACGAAAGAGCACUCUAAUGAGACUGCCGGUGACAAACCGGAGGAAGGUGGGGAUGACGUCAAGUCCUCAUGGCCCUUAUGGGUAGGGCUUCACACGUCAUACAAUGGUACAUACAGAGGGCCGCCAACCCGCGAGGGGGAGCUAAUCCCAGAAAGUGUAUCGUAGUCCGGAUUGUAGUCUGCAACUCGACUGCAUGAAGUUGGAAUCGCUAGUAAUCGCGGAUCAGCAUGUCGCGGUGAAUACGUUCCCGGGUCUUGUACACACCGCCCGUCACACCAUGGGAGCGGGUUUUACCAGAAGUAGGUAGGUUAACCGCA